UGGGAUCGGGCAGCUUGCUUUUCCGCUGACGAGUGGCGCACGGGUGCGUAACGCGUAUACAAUCUGCCUCUUACAGGGGGAUAGCCUUUGGAAACGAAGAAUAAUACCCCAUAAUAUAUGGAUAUCGCAUGGUAUCUAUAUUAAAGAUUUAUCGGUAAGAGAUGAGUAUGCGUCCUAUUAGCUAGAUGGUGUGGUAACGGCACACCAUGGCAACGAUAGGUAGGGGCCCUGAGAGGGGGAUCCCCCACACUGGUACUGAGACACGGACCAGACUCCUACGGGAGGCAGCAGUGAGGAAUAUUGGACAAUGGGCGAGAGCCUGAUCCAGCCAUGCCGCGUGCAGGAAGACUGCCCUAUGGGUUGUAAACUGCUUUUGUACGGGAAGAAACCCACCUACGUGUAGGUGGCUGACGGUACCGUAAGAAUAAGCAUCGGCUAACUCCGUGCCAGCAGCCGCGGUAAUACGGAGGAUGCAAGCGUUAUCCGGAAUCAUUGGGUUUAAAGGGUCCGUAGGUGGAUCGAUAAGUCAGAGGUGAAAGCCUGCAGCUCAACUGUAGAACUGCCUUUGAUACUGUCGGUCUUGAAUUAUUGUGAAGUGGUUAGAAUAUGUAGUGUAGCGGUGAAAUGCAUAGAUAUUACAUAGAAUACC
rnacentral:rRNA from 1 species